rnacentral:rRNA from 1 species
UGAUCCUGGCUCAGAUUGAACGCUGGCGGCAUGCCUAACACAUGCAAGUCGAACGGUAACAGGCAGAGCUUGCUCUGUGCUGACGAGUGGCGGACGGGUGCGUAACACGUAGGAAUCUGCCUAGUAGUUGGGGAUAGCCCGGAGAAAUCCGGAUUAAUACCGAAUACGAUCUACGGAUGAAAGGGGGCCUCUUCUUGAAAGCUCUCGCUAUUAGAUGAGCCUGCGUCGGAUUAGCUAGUUGGUGGGGUAAUGGCCUACCAAGGCAACGAUCCGUGGCUGGUCUGAGAGGACGAUCAGCCACACUGGGACUGAGACACGGCCCAGACUCCUACGGGAGGCAGCAGUGGGGAAUAUUGGACAAUGGGCGAAAGCCUGAUCCAGCAAUGCCGCGUGUGUGAAGAAGGCCUGCGGGUUGUAAAGCACUUUCAAUUGUGAAGAAAUGCUUAAGGUUAAUAACCCUGAGUCUUGACGUUAACUUUAGAAGAAGCACCGGCUAACCCUGUGCCAGCAGCCGCGGUAAUACAGGGGGUGCGAGCGUUAGUCAGAAUUACUGGGCGUAA